CGGGGUGCAGCAGGCGCGAAAACUUUACAAUGCCGGCAACGGCGAUAAGGGAACCUCGAGUGCCAGGUUACAAAUCUGGCUGUCGUGAUGCCUAAAAAGCAUUGCAUAGCAAGGGCCGGGCAAGACCGGUGCCAGCCGCCGCGGUAACACCGGCGGCUCGAGUGGUAACCGUUAUUAUUGGGUCUAAAGGGUCUGUAGCCGGCCGGAUAAGUCUCUUGGGAAAUCUGGCAGCUUAACUGUCAGGCUUUCAGGAGAUACUGUCUGGCUCGAGGCCGGGAGAGGUGAGAGGUACUUCAGGGGUAGGGGUGAAAUCUUGUAAUCCUUGAAGGACCACCAGUGGCGAAGGCGUCUCACCAGAACGGACCUGACGGCAAGGGACGAAAGCUAGGGGCACGAACCGGAUUAGAUACCCGGGUAGUCCUAGCCGUAAACGAUACUCGCUAGGUGUCGGCCACGGUGCGACCGUGGUCGGUGCCGUAGGGAAGCCGUGAAGCGAGCCACCUGGGAAGUACGGCCGCAAGGCUGAAACUUAAAGGAAUUGGCGGGGGAGCCAAGGGCGAUUCGCG
rnacentral:rRNA from 1 species